AUGUAUUGGAAAUCAAAUGGCCCAAAGAC
rnacentral:piRNA from 1 species